AAAAGAAAUCAGUCUUUGAACAAUGCCCUCAAAUGACUGACGUUAGCUAUUCACGUCGACACAGUGUAGCAAAGUACACCGCGUUGUGUUCACAAAGCAGGAAACCAGUCCGUCAAACGUGUGUGCGCGCGCGCGGUGGUCUAAGUACUCAACGUCGGUGUAACGGUUGCUUUACCUGGUGAAGAAAUGGAAGCGGGCGGGUAGUUUUGAGACCGCAGCGAAGAGGCUGAAUACUUCCCAAAAGUCUCGCCGUAACUUUGCCGACCAUCCGCACCGAAGCCAUCGUCAGCCGUGAAAACGUGUUAGCCGUGCUGUUGGGGCAUUCCGGUCAGUGAUACUCCCUCAACGUGAGCCUCGCUAGUCCCGGUGUCCCCGGCUGGAAACGGGUUGCUGUCGCUGUAAAUGUACACAGAUGAGCUGAGACGACCGCUACGGGACAGAGGGAGGAACAGCCCCGCCUGAGCUGUGUACUAGUUCCUCCUUACAGCACACACGCAGAAAUACCACGUUUUAAACGAGAAACAGGAGAAUAGAAGAGCACCACUGUUUUCACGUUUUUGUUGUCUGAAGCCAAAAACCAAAAUACGAGAGAACCAAAGUCAAACAACGAGCCGAUUUAGAUUUUUACUAAAUUUCUCUUUUGAAGAGAGACGCAAAGCAAGACAGGUGACCCGGAAGUACGAAGAUUUCAAAAUAAAAGUCAAAGCAAUAUGACCGUAUGCGAGCAAUUGCUAUUUACAGUCGAUGAUGCAAGCACAUACCAGGAUAACAGAAGAAAAAUAAAUUAAUGAAUAUAAAUAAAUACAUCUGGGCCGAUGAGGGUAUGUUAGCAACAGUAGUGGACUAUAGGUGAUUUAAUAUGCAUGUAUCCAUGUAUACAGCAAGAAUAAACUUUUCGAUUAAUCAGUGCAUUGUUUAAUGCAAUACAGUUCGUAACAUAGUUUAAUCAAAGCCAUGUUUGUGUUCACAGAGUUGUUGCUGUUGGCACUGAUAUUUAUUUUUCCACCAUAUUCUGUUCCUUGAGUGAAGGCAGAGCACAGCCUGUAAAAGGAGACGCAGAGUGUUUACCAUUUCUACUAGUAGAUAGCAGUAUAUUAUUAUUUAACCAUAGAUUUAAUUAUAUUUACCUGUGUUUUUUUAUUGUCUAGGUUAUUGAUACAGAUGUAUUUAAUGCUGUUUAUUUCAUCUGGUAUUUGACAGUCUGUCUGAGAAGUAAAUUCUCCUUAUUCAACAGCGUGGAUCUGAGAGGAAAACAGUUCAGAAAUUAGCAACAGAAAUGAGGAUCUACAGGCACACAAGUGCAUCUGGUGACAGCUGGUUCCCAGUCCGUCUCUGACCUCUACACGCAGCGUCAUGACGUAAUGCGUUCCAUAGGUCCCCCUGGUGAGGUCUGACAGAUUGAGCUGUAUCCGGUUCCAGCAAUCAUCCAGGCUCAUAGGCAUAAAGCAGAUGGACGGGUACACUCGUGUCCUGCUUUGAUAAUUGCUCAUCCUGAAACACCACUGAUAAUUUGUAUUAUCUAACACCUAAAUGUUUUUUCAAAGAUAGGAAGAAAGCAUGAAUCUGGUGACUGCAAGGAAGAAACCCAUAACUAUGCAUCACACCUUUGUUUGUUCUGACACCAAGACAUGGAAGCCGUCUGUAUCUGUAUCUGCCUACCCUACCUCAACUUCAAAGCUGAAUUCCUCCUUGAGAUUUUUGAUGGUCAUAACGAGAAAAGGAAGCCUGAUGUCUUCUUGGGGUCUGCGGGACACGUUAUGUAGUUGGUACUACUGCAGGGAUAAAAUAGAAAGACAAGGGAGAUGAAUGAGGGUGAAGAGUGCUUAAAUAGGUUGACCUCAGCUGAAGAAUCAGUUAAACAUAAACUCACCUGACGUUUAUCCCCCAUAGGCUACAUCCAACACCAGUGAGCGGAUGUCAUCAUCCAUGAUUCUCUUGAUGUGACCAUUCUUCACCUGUGAACACACAGAAAUAUCAUGAGGUUUAUAUGGAGAAAUUAAUUGAUUUUAAAUUUUACAGACAUGUUCAGCUCAAUGUGCUCUACAAAAAAAGAUGAGUCUGCCUGACUAGAUUUGAACCCGUACAUACACCGUGCUCUAGCUGGUGCAGUGCUGGACUACAACCGCUCAGACCCGGAGCUGCUCAUCAGAGCCAAGGACCCGGCAACUCUGAAGUCGGUCUCAGACGAGGAUGUUGUCCGCUGCUACAUAUCCAGGGAGCAGCUCAAACACCACGUGAGGAGGGUCACGCUUGGGGCUCAGGAGACAUUUCGGCUCAUCCACCUGACCAUAGAGGAGCUGAAAGGUCCCGCUGGGCUGGAUGAGAGUGGAGUCAGCCUCUUCAAAACACCUGAGACCACUGCAACACGGUUAUCGAUGUCAUGGGAGUCUGCAUUGGCGCGGCGUGGCACUGUUUCACCAAUUUAAACAGGGUUGGACGGCUCUUGGAGAACGUGCUCAGCUACACUGUUGCUGGGAUUGACAGACAUAACAGCAGACUCUUCUGGAUGGGUGAGUUUGUACUUUGUCAUCUUUUGAAGGGGGGUCUAUCUUGUUCAACAGACAAAGGCUGCCCCCUUGUGCACUUGGAGUAGCAUUGCAAAACCAUAAUGCACAAUGAAUACGUCGGAGAUAUUCACUCUGCUAUAGAGGCAUUGAACUCAUACAAAGAAGAAACAGUAUUCACUUCUACAUUGCAAAUAUCUUUAUAUAAGCUUGUUGAGGUCUUGCUGCUUAAAUUAUUGAAAAUGAUCAAAAUAAGAGCAUUACAGUACUUUUUAUAAGGCUACAUUUAGCACCAUCUUGUGGUAUCAAACAGUCACAUGCUCUGAAUAUGUUCAACUUCAGUAACAGUUUGACAAAUAUGUAACAAUGUCUGAAAUACCCGGUAAACUAAGUGAAUGCCUGUGGAAAACAGUAUGGUUUUAAUGACAUUACACACAUGCACUGCUCAAACUAUAUUGCAUCUUCAGGAGAAUUAACAGUUUCAAAGGAGCAUAUUUUCCAAAGUAAUUUGAUUUAUAGUUUAUUAAUAAUGUUUAAAAAAAGAUAUCUUAACAUUUUCACAAAAGUUUCCUGCAGUUCUUUCUGCAUAUCACAUCAAACCCAAACCCCUGUGUUGAGAGACUUUUCCACACACAGAGGCAGGCUUAGAGACAAGUUAACCCUGCAUUUUUAAUAUCUGCAGACUGAAUAUCAAAGGCUUGUGGAAAAUUAUAGAUGAACCAUGACAAGUCAAAUCCAUUUGAGUUAAUGAGACGAAAAGACACCGAGAUAGAGAGAAUGCUUGAAAACUACUGUACAAUCUUCUUAUGUACCGAUACUUUCACUCAGAGUGUACUGUACUGCACCUACAGAAUGUCACUCAGUGGGUUGUGUGUUCAAAGUUACCAGAUGUCUCUGUAACAUUACAGGACCUCUUCUGUGCUAUUUGCAUAGUCGCCAUCAACGUUUUACAGUUUUUUUUGCUGCAAUUGUUAACUGUUUCAUUAAUCUCCCUUGGAAGUUUUCAUGUUUUAUUUUCCUGCAACAUUAAAUCCAAGAAUACUAACUUCCAAACAUGUUUAUUUAUUAUGCCAUCAAUUGAAACCCUUGACGACACACAUGUGAUCUCAAUUUGACGAAUUAUAACUUUGAAUUAGCUGCACUAAAAAUGAUUUAGGUUUGUCCAAUAAAGGGGAGUUCAUAACUCUUUUAUAUUUCUAAUUAAUUGAGAUAUUUUGUAUAGGUCUGUUUUCACUUUGACAUUAAAAGUUUUGUCAAAAAAGGCCACAUUAAAUCCCCCUUUAUUCAUUGUUGUAUAUCAAUAAAUCAUGAUAACAUCUAAGAGACUGAACACGUUUUAAAGGGCAACUGUACCUUGCUCACUCAUACAUAAUAGAAACUGAACUACUGACCUGAGCCUCUGCAUGUUUGAAGUGUCCUGAUAUAUUAUUUUUAGCAUAAUCAGCAAGUUUUUUUUGUGGCCAUAUUACGAUAUGUGAUUAAUAUCCAAGAUGGUUGUAGAUUGUGUAUUGUGAGUGUGUUGGCUAAACAGAGGCAGUAGAAAGUGGAGGGCUGUCAGAGUCAGAGGGAGGGGCUGUUGUUUGAUGUGCGGAGCCGAGGUAAUUG